CUCCCUGCAGAUCCCUCGAGCCUGCCUCUGCCAAGGACCUUGACCUAGCAGGGACUUGGUCGCCACGCUUAGCUCCCCCUGACCUGCUUUUGAACCCGCUAAUCCCACCCCAACUCUUUGCCCGACGUUCGCUCCACGCGCUAAUUCCCGCUGGCCCCGCAACCCCCACUCCCUCUCGGCCCAAGAGACUCUGCAGGGCACCACCAGGGCUCCACACGGUGUCCCCGACUCACGCUCGAACUCCCCACCAAAGCAAACGGCCUCAGCUACAAACAUCUCUCUUCUUGGCUCCCCUUAAUUUAAUUCGUUAAAAAAAAAUAAUAGCCGUACACAUAUCACAGUCUUCUGUAACAGCAACGAAUCUGGCAAACUGGCGGUGCAAGGGAGCAGUGGUCACCGUGGCUAGUCAGCGACAGAGCCUGGGAAGGGGAAGGUUCCCCCACCAAAGCCAGAAGGACUGGAAGAAACGCAGACCCAG
rfam:Neotoma lepida isolate 417 scaffold_681, whole genome shotgun sequence.